UUUCCCGUAGUAUAGUGGUCAGUAUGCAAGCUUGUCACGCUUGAGACCCGGGUUCAAUUCCCGGCGGGGAAG
rnacentral:tRNA from 1 species